rnacentral:rRNA from 1 species
UCUUUUAAUUGAAGGCUGGUAUGAAUGGUUGGAUGAGGUACAAGCUGUGUCAUAAAAAUUAAUUUUUGAAUUUACCUUUUUAGUCAAAAGGCUAAAAUAACAUUAAAAGACGAGAAGACCCUAUAGAGCUUUAUAUAAUUUAUAUUUAAAUUAUUAAGAUUUUUUAAAUUUAAUUAUGUUAUUAUAUUUUGUUGGGGUGACAAUAAAAUUUAUAAAACUUUUAUUUUUAUUAUACAUUUAUUUAUGAAUAUAUGAUCCAGUUUUAUUGAUUAUAAAUUUAAGUUACCUUAGGGAUAACAGCGUAAUUUUUUUUGAGAGUUCUUAUCGACAAAAAAGAUUGC